CCUGAGAAGGUCUGAGUUGCCGAUCAUUUCGAAAGUUAAAAAUACCAAAGUAUUGAUGCAGCUAACAGAAAAACACUUAUUUUGAAUGAAUUGGCUACGAAGGGUCCCUCUCGAGGGUGCUCUGAGCUUUAUGAUUUCAAAAAUAAUUGAAAAUGCUGUUUGGCAGUGCUGAUUCUAAGUGUAAUAUGCAAAUUUCUCUCCAUUUUGGUAAGAAAAAUUCGAUUCAGACUACUCUCU
rnacentral:ribozyme from 1 species